UUUCCUUCUUUUUUAUUCUUGUUCUUUUUAUAUUUCUUGAAAUUUCUCUCUACUCUUCGUACUUUGUGAUGUAAACUACAUAUUUUCAUUCAUAAGCUCUGAAUUAAUCUGAAGGUGCGAGCUCAACUUGUGGCGGAUAGUCUGGGAGAACAAAUCUCGUACCUUUUUAAUGGCAACUAUCAUGUCAGUGUUUGGCUUUUAGUCCUUCUUUCUUGGUUGUGAUUUUGUAUAUUUGUUCCAGAUAAACUGAUUUAGGCUUUGAUUAUAGCCUUUUUAUCCUCCUAAGGAUUUCUUCAUUUAUGAGUCCUUCUAUGGAGGGAGCUCGGCCUUUCUUUUUGGCCUUUGUAUCUUGAUCCUUUAAGGAUAUGAGUCUAUCUGAGCUGAGAGCCCGGUCUUGGGCCUUUGUGAAUAUUGGUCCGAGCUGGGAGCUCGACCUCUUC
rnacentral:lncRNA from 1 species